rnacentral:lncRNA from 1 species
UCUGAAUAUUUUCUCUGAUCAGCUAGUAGUAAUCUCUUGUUCUGUCUUGUAGAGACCGAUCUUGAGCUACUUAGCCUUCCUCCUGGAUUGCUGUAGUGUUCUGCUGUGAGUCUCGCAAAGCUACUCUGAAGCUUCAUCUGACACAACGUGAUCAUCUGCCUGUUUAGAGCAAAGAUGUCUGGCAGGCAUUAUCAAAAACAAAGCAGCUAUUAUAGAAGGAUUCUUCAUUCUGUAACAAGCAUAAAAGGACGUUUGAACAGACUGUAUCCAGAGUGAAUACAGAGAAACACGACUCUCCCUUGAAUGUUCUGCUCACUCAGAGGAGUUCACCUGAACACCUUAAUAUUCUGAAGAGUCAUGAGAAAGAUACCAUCUUUUUCCUGCAGAGCUGUGAAAAAGUGUUGACGUGUGUGAYGUACUGCGAGGAGCUCAGCUGA